rnacentral:rRNA from 1 species
ACGAACGCUGGCGGCAGGCUUAACACAUGCAAGUCGAACGCAUCCUUCGGGGUGAGUGGCAGACGGGUGAGUAACACGUGGGAACGUGCCCUUCAGUUCGGGAUAACCCAGGGAAACUUGGGCUAAUACCGGAUACGUCCGUAAGGAGAAAGAUUGAUCGCUGAAGGAUCGGCCCGCGUCUGAUUAGCUAGUUGGUGGGGUAAUGGCCUACCAAGGCGACGAUCAGUAGCUGGUCUGAGAGGAUGAUCAGCCACACUGGGACUGAGACACGGCCCAGACUCCUACGGGAGGCAGCAGUGGGGAAUAUUGGACAAUGGGCGCAAGCCUGAUCCAGCCAUGCCGCGUGAGUGAUGAAGGCCCUAGGGUUGUAAAGCUCUUUCGGCGGGGACGAUAAUGACGGUACCCGCAGAAGAAGCCCCGGCUAACUUCGUGCCAGCCGCCGCCGUAACAC